CAAGUUCUUCCCAAAGGAUCAAUUCCAGGAUCUGCACUUUUUUCACCUUCCUUAUAGCACCUUGAUGAGACUGACACAUCCUCUAGAUGGAACAAACAAGCUUUCUGCCUCUUUUUGAACCCAUCCUGAACAGGGAGAGGAAGGAACAAUAGCUGAAUAAUCACAGCCCAACAGUGCUUAGAACUGGGAUUGGAUUUUCAGAGGAAUCUGAUGGACUUCAGUGCCAUUACAUUUCAGAAGGAAUGGGUUGCCUCCCGACAUAGGUUCUGUAGAAACUCUUGGCUUUGUGCAGUACACCAGGUGCUCCUUAAAAAAAAUAUUUUGUGAUCUUCAAUAUAUUGUGAAAAUAGAACACACAUUGGGACCUGAUCAUCUGCAGAACAUCUGGUUGAUGCAGUAAGAGCAGCAAGUUUUCCAGUGCAAGGAAGGAAUAUUUGCCAGUCCCUUUGUGUUCUCAGCAGAAACAGUAGCAGCUGAACACCUCUUCCGGUACAAAGGCAUUAAUACAUACACUGAGCACAGCAGAGGAGAUAAGCAAUGUACAAAUGCUAAAGGUGGCUGAGAAUGCUGUCCUGGUGUUGGAGGAAUCCAUCUAUUAAUAGUUCGAUUAUGAGAAACCAUCUUAACAUUGAAUGCUGCAUAGUACUGCAUGAAAGU
rnacentral:lncRNA from 1 species